UCCUACAACAUGCGUGUGUCGGUACAGCACAGAAGAGGAGACCCGACGAUUGCUUGCCUGGUAGUGUCUGCGUCAUGCUGUUUCUUGCGCGAGAUGGUAUGCGCGGCCACUUGGUCGAUAUCGAGACGCAGACAGUGCUGCGCAAUUACGCGAUAGGAGAGGUGGCGAAAAACGCUUUAGCUUACUCUCCCAUCAGUCAAGCCGUCAUAGCGCACCAAACGCGCAACUGUGCUCUUUUCCUCUCUGCGGCAACGCAGCAGCCACUCCAGCGCAGCUUCACGCCGGAGCUCGUCACAAGCUGCGCCGUCACUCGGUGCGGCACCUUCAUGGUGGCGGGCACAGCGAACGGCACCGUUCUCCUGUGGAACAUGCAGUCUGGCGACCUCAUCAAGAGCUACAAGGGCCACCUGCGCGCGGUACACUGUGCCGCGAUCUCAGCUGACGACUCGCUCGUCGCGACGGUGUCUGAGGACUCGGUGUGCAAGGUAUGGAAUCUAGCGACACUGGCCUCGCUUCGAAUGCGCGAGGUCGUGCCUCGGUGCAUCUUCAACGGCCACUCACUCGCGGCCACCUGCUGCACUUUCCUCCACCACUCGAAUGUGCUUCUCACCGGCUCCAGCGACCGCACCUGCCGUCUCGUGGACACCCACACAGGGGAGCAGCUCCGCACCGUCACUGUCGGGGAUGCCGUCACCGCGGUCGCCGUGAGCCUUGACGACGCCUCGAUUGUUGCUGGCACGCAAAAGGGAUUCUUGUUCUUCAGCGAGCUUUACGAGCCAUCUCUCGGGCUUGCCAUCGAAUCAGAACAUGAUGGUGAUCAGCGAGAGGCGAUCCUCCGACCACCCAGCGCGGAUGGCCACCACUCUCCGGUUAUCUUUUUGCGGUGUCUGCCCUCCACACCGUCGCUUGUGCUCACCGCCAGCGAGGGUGGCGCCGUUCUGUGGUUCGAUAUCCGAAACGGGCGGCUCGUGAAAGAGUGCAUCAGCCCCCAAAAGGGGCGGCUGCUCGGCUGCUGCGUGGUACCGCAAGCUGCCCUGCUCGUGAAGGGGAUAUGCGCGCCGCUGCAGAAGCACCCUGUCGAUCCCUCACGAGGCAACUAUCGCAUCACACAGUGCGCUCUCACGACGUUCCAAGACAGGCGCGGCGUGAAGCGGGACCGAGUUGGCGAAGAUGACGUGCAACUUGGGCCCGAUGAGGAGGCAGAUGCGAAUGCUCUCGAAGAGGUUCGUGCAAAGGUAGUGGAGCUGCGCGACCUUCGCGCGCAGCUCCAACGCCGACUGCGCAAGCUCUCUGAAGCAAAAAGCUUAAGGUAAGGCAUAUGAUCAGCCUGUGAUCGGCGCCUGUCGCCACCAUUCCGUCACACGGACAGAAUGCCCUCUGUUGUCGGCGUGCGGUUACCGGCCGGCCUUCUUCCUUUUUUUGUACUUGCGCUUUGCGGACAAGGCCGUUGUUUUACACCUUGCCGCUAAAACUCGUGUAGCGCAGAUAAAAGACCUUUGGCUCGCUGCUGAGCAGACGCGAUCCGGCAAAAAGGAAAGAAGCGCAGAAACUCCCAUGUGGGAAGCCGCGGUCUCCACAACAGCCGUCGAAGGACGGGGUUCCCCUUCAGCGGUGCUCGAACUGCCGUGCACGAACUCAGCCUGCCGUUCCCCAGUGGUUCGGCGCUUGUACGCCACAAUGCGACUGGGAAUCCUAUCCAGAGGUACAAAAC
rnacentral:misc_RNA from 1 species